rnacentral:lncRNA from 1 species
UAAUCUUCAGAUGAAGUUUAAACUCUUGUAGGGUAAAGGAAAAAACCCAGAAAUAAAUGAUGAUUUUUCGAUCAUCAUUUGGAUUAAGAAUACUUAAAUAGUUGUGCUGAUGUACAAGAUCUGUAGGAAUAUGACUGGCUUCCAGAUGGGAGGGGGGAACUAUAAUAAUGAAUUAUGGGUCUGAUGAAAGGUCAUUCUUCUUCUGUCACAUAGACUUCAAAUCAGUCACUGUGUCUCCCUUGCUCGCUCUUCUAAUUGGAAUGCUGUAUAAUCUAAAAUGCUUUUUCCCUGGUGUUUUGCUGAUAAAGUAAUUUCUAAUUUGCUUCAAAAUUAUAGGUAUGAAGAGAAACUUAGUUGUAUAGAGGAAAUGCUCCUCAGUUUGAAGAUCUUGUUUGAAGGGCCAAUGGAGAAACACCCUGAAAUUAAAGAUAUUUCAGAGAAAAAAGGAGGGAAGCACACAGACACAAGAAAGAAAGCAAAGAAAGGAGAGCAGAAGAUCAGUUUGGGGUUUUGGCAAACAGCACAUAUUCAUGGGGCCAAAGAGAAUGAGAAGAACUUGGUAUCACAGCAGCCAGGGAACAGACACCCACAAUUUGUUAGAAGAAGAGGAACCAGGAGAGUCCUCUAGCUUCUGACUUCAAAAUAGUUUGUCUUCCUGAGGGGGAUCCAUCCCAGUGCCAUCGACUAUUGCUUCCUCAGGCCGCUGACACCAGCCUUUGCCUUGCAGCUCCUUGCAGGGCUUGCUGAGCCCCGAGGGGGUGGCAGUGGGAGAGGGAGGCAGCCAGAGCUGCCUUAGGCAGCACCGCCUUUGAGCUGCUGCUGCUUCAGUGCUCAGCCUGACAGAGAAACAAAAUGGAAAUUAUUCAGGAGCAUGAACCAAAGUGAAGGUGCUCGUGGUACCAGUGGCAUCCCAGAGGCCUUUGUCAGAUGUUUAUAGAUGUCAACUUUUGUGUUUCCUUGGUGAAUGAGUCACUGUGGCUGUGCUUAAAUCCUUAAAAUGCUUUUUAAGCAUUCACAACAGCAUUUUUCCUCUGUUUGUGUGGCUACUUUCAAAUACUAACUUCAGGUACACCCAGGCCUUUGCAAAUUGAUAUGAACUGUCCUCUCUGGGUAGAAGCCAGGUUUGACCCAGAAGCUGUUUAGCCAUGUUAGCAAAGUCCAAAACAUGGCUAAUCUCUUUGGCAGGUUUUGAAAGCCUAAGCUCAGAUUUUUUUUUAGGUGGCUUUCCAUUAUAAGAGUGGGUUCUUGUGCAGAUGGAUCAAAAUAGAGGGAGACUGAGCUUGCAGUUUCUUGCAAAGUCAGGCUGACUUUAUCCUACGAAUUUGCAGUAUAAGAAACAACAAACCUAAAUAGCAUGCUAGAUCUUGGCUCCAUUUUUCAUUGCUUCUCCUGUUCUGGGGGAGCUGCUACCUUGUCAAAAUAUGAUGUGCAGAAAAAAUAGAAAAGCAAAAUCAGAAAAAGAAAAUCAAGCAACAAAUGAGGUAUUCUCAUCAUACCGAGUUUUGUGGUGGAAGACAGGACUGUUCCCUGGGACACCGUGUACUAGAGAUCAUGACAUGGUAUGCAACUUUAAAUUUUCUCACUGCCAGUUUUGUUGCGUUAAUAUUUGGGUGCUCUGCUGAGUUGGCACUGCCGGAUGCAGGUUGUUCCCUAUCCAUUACUGGCAGGAAACGUUGCACCAGAAGGGUGGAUACAGGCACCCUGGCUGCUGGGCACUUGCAAUAGGAGAUAAUUUCCUGAGUGGCAUAAGACAGCGUGGUUUGUAUAUCAUGUAAAAAGCCCAUCUCUUGUGGCAUUUUCCUCUGAUUGCUGAGUCCACUGCAGAAGAGUAAAAACAUAUGACACUUAAAAAUAGGAUAUAUCCUCAACCAUUGCAAACGCCAUCUGUUCUCAAAGAAACAACUGGUAGAAAAAAAUAACCUUGGGUUGAAACCUUGCAUGAAGUUGCCAUUUAAGAUAAGUGGGGUUGGCUUUGUUAUUUUUAUUUUUUUGGAGGUGUGGAGAAGGGCUGUUUGAUGGCAACUGAAAGAAAACAGAUAUGUGGAACUGGAGUGUGCGUGUCACAGACGUGCAGAGAAGUCGUGUCUUGAAGGCCUGUUAAAACCGUGGCACCAAGCAUCACAGUGACACCGGAAGGAACCCAUGGACUAUUUUAAAUCAGUUCGUGCAGGUGACUGCAGCAAAGUGUCUGCCCACCACCAGAAGUUGCUUUCCAAAAAAAGUGUCUGCAUUCCUAGUCAUAAACAGAUAAGACCUAAUUUUCCAAUUGAACACAGUUCCCUGGUGAAUGGUGUGGCUUCCUCACCCAUUCAGACUCCAUCCAGACUGGUAAUGAGGAGUGAAUCAGUAGCUUAGGGAAUGCUGCUCCCCCAAAGCACACCCACAGCCAUCGCCUCUGGUAACAGGAGCAAAGUUUCUGAGCUUUGGCCAUUCCUGGGAGUCAGCAGCACUUCUUCUGGCCCUGUCAGGGUGUGAUUAAAUGAUUGAAGAGAAUUUAGUUUUCACAUAGUGACAUUUUGCUGUUACCUGUGGAACUUCAGUAACUAGUCACACCCCCUGCCCCAAAUCUGAUGAAAAAUCCUGAGAGCCCACUAGUGGACUUGGUCACUUGCGCUGUUUUGGACACCCUUGUGAGAAGUCAGAUGGGAUACCUUUAGCAUCUGCCCAUGGUUUCUUUUGGUGCUGAAACUGAAGGCAAACAGGAACAACUCAUCUCCUUUACGUGGACUGAUGGGUUCAAGACAUCUUUGGGCUACGUACAGCUGCAGUAUCACAUGAAAUCAGCAGGCCUCAGUAGCAAGAUGAAGCCUGUGUCUUGAUAUGGAUCAGAAAUUUGAAGAUGGGAUGGCUGCAUUUCAGUGCUUCUGCCCCUGCUCUAUACUGAAGUGAAGAGCAGCUGACUUGUACUUAAGACACAUGCCAAGAAUCUGUGCUUGAGGUAAAGGGAGCACUGCUUGGUGUUUGCUCAAACAGAAUAGUCAUGUCCCAAGGCAGCGUCCUAAUCCUGUCAACCUCGCUGUUUUUAUGAGUUCCAAGUGGGACAACAUGGUGAGGAAAGAAGAAGGCAUUUUAAUGAACAGGUUUGAUAGUGAUAUUUCUGAAUCAUUUCUUUUUUAGCAUCUCACAGCACAGGAAUAGCUGCAGUGAUGUAAUGUUGCUAUUUAGAAUUGUUUUCAAAGUGUGUUUUGAGUUUGGUGUCUGCAGUACUGAAAAUUUUGCUUCGGAAAUGAGUGCACCUAAGGUAAAGCCUGUGUGCAUGCAUUUUCAGGCUCUGUCUCUCUGAAUUUGGACUGCCAGGCUUCUGAUCCUCUUAUCUCCAGUUUGAACAUCAGAAGAUUUGCAGGGUACUAGCUUGUGCUCCACUUUUGUGACAAGCAGAUGAGGGAUGAGACAAAUCUACUAAACACAUUCUCUGCUUUGCAGGGGAAUAAGGCAAUAACCUGCUUCCCUGUGUUUGGUCCUCAUAGACCUAACUCCUGAGAUAAAGACCUUUUCGUAUUUAACCCAGGGAAUGAGUAAUUCUUUUGUGAUGCGCUGCCACAGCACAUUUCUGUGUUCUGUCCUUAACUGUGCAAUAGCAAAACCUGGCUGCAUUGCCCCACAAUAGAGCAAAACACCCCUGUGACCUUGAGGGUAAAACCCCAUGGAAGCAUGAGGAGUGAUGUGGCUGGCAUAGUUCACAGUGGUGGGAGAGCAAUCUUCUGAUUUCGUAAGUGACAAGACACAAAACCUGUUUUGCAAGAACUUUUUUUUUUGUCAUACUCUUUCAUACUGAAAUAUGACUAAUUUACCAGUACACAGAGCAAUAACACUGAGCCCUGUUUGAAACAAAGUAUGCUGUUCUUGCAACACAACUCAUACUUCUAGAUUUGAGCCUUGCCUGUGGAUCAACUAUAGUUAACAUUUUAAUACUCUAGCAACAUUUCAAACGCACUCUACUUUUGUCUACCAGCUUUUCCAUUUCUUGGCAUUGAUGGUCUUCAUGUUCCACAGCAGAAGUUCAAUAGCUCUCUCAAGCUGAAAUAAAAUCUUCUGUACUCUGAAAUGUUAGAUCA